GGUAUGUGAGGCUGUAGCUUGUAUCUGUCAUCUCGUAGAGCCUGCGAAAGUUGUGCUUUCAGGGGAAACGGAGAGCAGGGCGCAAGCAAAUUAACUUCAUGUGCCUGGAGCUCAGAAUUGCAGGCUGAACAAAAAUGCUGUAAUUGGAGGCACAAUGGGAAUUAUUCUUGGAAGUAACUGGAAUCAAAUCCAAGGAAUGUGCAAAAAAGGUAAAGAAGCUUUCGCUGAACGGUUUUCCUCUAGGACCCCCUCCAUUACACUAGUACGCCUUUCUCCCAGUUGGUGUACGUACCCCCUGGGUAACCCGGAGCGGC